AGCUGCAUAAAAGGUCUUCCCACCUGCGCUUCUCCCAACAGCAACUCUCGCCUUCUCCCAAGCAGUUUGUUCAGGACUUGACCCAGCUCCAUUGCUCCAAGAUGUCCCACGGCUACAUUCCAUCCCUCCAGCACUCCUGCUACAUCCCAACUGGAACCUCUUCUUGGGGGCACCCCAUUAGCGGCACCAGUGAUUUUGGGAGUGACGCAGUGUAAUUGCAGUGCCUUGCCAUAACCUCUGGGGUCAGCGCUAAUGGCGUCAAUCUGACUGCACGUCGUGAUUACGAGUACGUGCACAUCAUCCAGCCCCCUGUUGUUGUGAUCAUCCCAGGACCAAGACUUCCUCCCUCCAGAGGGCCGGUUCGUGGUUUCUAAAGGGAAUGUCCGCAGCAGCAACUGACAAAUACGAUAUGGCUUUACAGCAAUGAGAUCCUUCCUCUCUUCUCUCUGGCAUGGGAAAUGUCCUACGACUUCCUUCUUCUUUCAUUAAAGCUUAGCUUCAGCAUCGAA